UACGAAGGGGGCUAGCGUUGCUCGGAAUCACUGGGCGUAAAGGGUGCGUAGGCGGGUUCUUAAGUCAGAGGUGAAAUCCUGGAGCUCAACUCCAGAACUGCCCUUGAUACUGAGAGUCUUGAGUUCGGGAGAGGUGAGUGGAACUGCGAGUGUAGAGGUGAAAUUCGUAGAUAUUCGCAAGAACACCAGUGGCGAAGGCGGCUCACUGGCCCGAUACUGACGCUGAUGCACGAAAGCGUGGGGAGCAAACAGG
rnacentral:rRNA from 1 species